rnacentral:rRNA from 1 species
UCCAGACUCCUACGGGAGGCAGCAGUGGGGAAUAUUGCACAAUGGGGGAAACCCUGAUGCAGCAACGCCGCGUGAGUGAAGAAGUCAUUCGUGAUGUAAAGCUCUAUCAGCAGGGAAGAAAAUGACGGUACCUGACUAAGAAGCCCCGGCUAACUACGUGCCAGCAGCCGCGGUAAUACGUAGGGGGCAAGCGUUAUCCGGAUUUACUGGGUGUAAAGGGAGCGUAGACGGCGACGCAAGUCUGAAGUGAAAUGCCGGGGCUUAACCCCGGAACUGCUUUGGAAACUGUGCAGCUAGAGUGCAGGAGAGGUAAGUGGAAUUCCUAGUGUAGCGGUGAAAUGCGUAGAUAUUAGGAGGAACACCAGUGGCGAAGGCGGCUUACUGGACUGUAACUGACGUUGAGGCUCGAAAGCGUGGGGAGCAAACAGGAUUAGAUACCCUCGUAU